UACGGAGGGUGCAAGCGUUAUCCGGAUUCACUGGGUUUAAAGGGUGCGUAGGCGGACAGGUAAGUCAGUGGUGAAAUCUCUGGGCUUAACCCAGAAACUGCCGUUGAUACUAUUUGUCUUGAAUAUCCUGGAGGUAGGCGGAAUAUGUUAUGUAGCGGUGAAAUGCUUAGAUAUGACAUAGAACACCGAUAGCGAAGGCAGCUUACUACAGGAUGAUUGACGCUGAGGCACGAAAGCGUGGGGAGCAAACAGG
rnacentral:rRNA from 1 species